UUCACUGUAGAUGAAAGACAUCUAAGACACAUAUAUAGCUAGAAUCCAUUAUAACAAAUAGCAAUUUCCCCUGAGUCCAGUGUCCACGACAAGCAAAUAAAAUUUCAGGAGGAUAUUAACAAAUGGGAUAUCUUGAUCAAAAUCUGUAGAGAUAUGAAAAGCCAUGACUCCAGUUGCCAACUUCACAACGUUUACCAUUAGGCUGUGACUCAACUAUGGUCCCAAGGGGGAGAAACUUGAAACGACAAACUUCACAACGUUUACCAUUAGGCUGUGACUCAACUAUGGUCCCAAGGGGAAGAAACUUGAAACGACAGCAGCGACUACAGACACAGAUGGACCCCAGACAUUCAGAUUGAAACUUGACGACGACGCUGAACCUUCUUGACCCUCAUUACUGUUCUAGGAC
rnacentral:lncRNA from 1 species